CCUCCUCCCCCUCCCUCCCCUCCCACCCCUCCCCCCCGGACCUGGUUUACGACACUGGGUGGUUUUACUUUUACAUCACCUUCCUACACCUAGUUCUCGGCCGGAACCUUGUUGCCAGGGGAGACGGGUGCUUUACGGCAGCACGUUUGAACGGGGAAGAGGGAAAAGUUCCUGCCGCAGGUGCCGGGAUGUGGCCUUGAGGAAUACCCCAUACACACUGGCUGAGCGUCUCUGCCAGGAAGGUGAGAUGACAAGACACAUGGGAGAGGAGAAAGUCACGAGCAUCCCAAUGAUUUGAGGGAUAAAUCUGGUUGGAGGAAUUUUCUUUUAUAGGAUUUGUGGAACUUUAAUUUAAAGUAUGUAAACUCUGAUGGUUCUUUAUCAACUUUAAGCAGUAAACAUCUUUUUUUCUGUGAGAAAUGACUUUAGAGUCUCUUGGGAAUUUGAUAUGGUAAAAGAUUUGAUUCAUUUUGGGACCUUUGCAUCAACUAGCUUUGGGGAAGCAAUAGAAUCUACUUUCCUAAUCCAAUCAGCCUUUGG